rnacentral:rRNA from 1 species
AUUGAACGCUGGCGGCAUGCCUUACACAUGCAAGUCGAACGGUAACGCGGGGCAACCUGGCGACGAGUGGCGAACGGGUGAGUAAUACAUCGGAACGUGCCCAGUAAUGGGGGAUAGCCCGGCGAAAGCCAGAUUAAUACCGCAUACGACCUAAGGGUGAAAGAGGGGGAUCGCAAGACCUCUCGUUAUUGGAGCGGCCGAUGGCAGAUUAGGUAGUUGGUGGGGUAAAGGCCUACCAAGCCGACGAUCUGUAGCUGGUCUGAGAGGACGACCAGCCACACUGGGACUGAGACACGGCCCAGACUCCUACGGGAGGCAGCAGUGGGGAAUUUUGGACAAUGGACGCAAGUCUGAUCCAGCAAUGCCGCGUGCGGGAAGAAGGCCUUCGGGUUGUAAACCGCUUUUGUCAGGGAAGAAAUCUUCUGGGUUAAUACCUCGGGAGGAUGACGGUACCUGAAGAAUAAGCACCGGCUAACUACGUGCCAGCAGCAGCCGCAGUAA